rnacentral:rRNA from 1 species
UACGAGGGGGGCAAGCGUUGUUCGGAAUUAUUGGGCGUAAAGGGCUCGUAGGCGGCCAACUAAGUCAGACGUGAAAUCCCCAGGCUCAACCUGGGAACUGCGUCUGAUACUGGAUGGCUUGAAUCCGGGAGAGGGAUGCAGAAUUCCAGGUGUAGCGGUGAAAUGCGUAGAUAUCUGGAGGAACACCGGUGGCGAAGGCGGCAUCCUGGACCAACACUGACACUGAGGAGCGAAAGCCAGGGGAGCAAACGGG